UUCAGGGUGGUGCGAAGAACUCUGGGAGGCCAAAGGGACCAAGGUCUCGGAGAUUAUUGAGAUCCAAGGUUGCCAAGGCUGGAACAGAGCGCCUUCCCAUUCUGGGAUGUGGUUCCUGCCCUUCUUCUUCGGUGGGGCACAGCCAGCUACGUCCAGGACCCCACCAUGGCCACCAUGGCCGUGACGUCAUCCUGGCUCACUUGGGAGACGUGACACCGCCCACUUCACGCGGGGCGGCCACCAACCGUUAGAGCAACGACCUGGAGGUCACCACCAACGGCCUCAGGAGCAUUCUGCAGGUUCUACAGCAACGUUACUGGAAGGCACUCCGGGUCCUGUGUCUCCCUAGUAUGCCAGCCGGCCAGCCAACCGGCUCUACUGACCUCGGACAUGGAUGCAAAAGAGCUGGAUUUAUCAACAGCCUUUGGGGACCACAGCGCCCUCUGUAGCUCGAGUCCGGUAGGGCAGAGUGAAUGAAGAAUUUAACCGAACUUGGCCACAAAUCGAAUUCAACCAAGACUUUUCUUGUGCUUGCUGCAUUGGCGGUGGAGAUGCACCAUCUGCAUGGUGUCAGCCAUUAUAAAGGGCGACACAGAAGAGGACUUCCCCUUAUCCAACAAAUUUUAACGUUUCUGGCCGCUCACACAUAUGCUUGUCCUUUCAAAGACAUGAGGACCAAAGGUGGUGUUGUCAUGACUCAGGAAUUUCAUGAAUAGAAGACUUGGUUCUGUCUGUGCCCACGUGGCCCAGCUGUUAGACCUACGAGUU